rnacentral:misc_RNA from 1 species
GUGAAUCAUCGAAUCUUUGAACGCACCUUGCGCCUUUUGGUAUUCCGAAAGGCAUGCCUGUUUGAGUGUCAUGUAGACUCAACUCUCGAGAGGUUUCUUGCGAGUUGGAUUUGGGUGUUGCCAUUUGGCUCGCCUUAAUAGUGUUAGUGGUUUAAGCACUUGAUCGGACGUGAUAAGUUUCGUCCGGCCGUGUGUCGUUCGACCGCUCCUAAACCGCCUUGCGGCGCUCUUUGACUCUGACCUCAAAUCAGGUAGGACUACCCGCUGAACUUAAGCAUAUCAAUAAGCGGAGGA